AUCUUCAGUAAUAGACAAGCAUCUUCUGCCGUGACUAUGUCAAAAGACACAAUUCCUUAUUUCUUGCCACCGAAAUAUGCAAAUUUGAGAUGACAGAGUUUUUACUGUAAUUCUGAAGCACAAGUAUGGCAGAAUCAGGAUACAACACAAAUGAUUUGGUUAGAGAAGGCCAUUUUAGGUGGUUAAGACCUGCAGAAGUGUACUACAGAAUCAUGACGAUCACCAACUUGCGCAUCAACCACCUCAAAAGCCAGCUAGUGGAUCUAUGUUUCUCUUUAAUAAGAGGGUCCUCAGGUACUUCCGUAAAGAUGGUCAUAAUUGGCGUAAAAAGAAGGAUGGAAGAACUGUAGGAGAGGCACAUGAGCGGCUUAAGGUUGGAAACGCUGAAGCCCUAAAUUGUUAUUAUGCACAUGGUGAGAAGAAUUCUAAUUUCCAGAGGCGCAGCUAUUGGAUGUUGGAUCCUGCAUACGAGCACAUUGUUCUGGUUCACUACAGAGAUAUAACUAAGGGGAGGCAGGUUGCAGCAUUCAUGUCACAGUCAUCUCCAAUUUCCUCUACUUUCCCUCUGAGUCCCAGCUUAUAUUCUACUCAACAUCCAGGCUUCACUGUUCUUGGUAGUGAAUCUUAUCAACAAUACCAGGAUGAAUCUAGACCUGGAUAUGGGGAAAUUUGUUCUGAUGCAGCUAUCCAUAGUAAUGGAAUGAAUGUCUCAGACAUCACCAGGAUGAUGGAGGGGGUGAGCAACUCACCAAAGGUUGAGAUAAGUCAAGCAUUGCGAAGACUUGAGGAGCAGUUAAAUUUAAAUGAUGACAGCUCACCGGAAAUUUAUUCACUCUAUAGUGAGAUUGAGAAAGCAAAUGAUGCUGAAAAUGUUGUACAUGACAAAAGUUCACUUGUCCAGAUCCAGGACAAUUCAAAUAAUCUUCUGUUGCUGCCUCAUUCAGGUGAGAGCAGUGAAUCUCAGGAUCAGCUUUUGAACCUGGAUGCUAACAUGUGGAAAGAGAUGCUGGAUCACUGCAGGAGCUCUCCGGCUGCUCAGUCACAAGCCAAAUGUUUUGAAAAGUUGGACGAGAAUGGAAUGCUACAAACUUCGUCAGGAAGUGAAUCAAUAGAAGCAACAAAAAGCGAUAGGUGGCCUAAAAUUGGUGGAAAGGAAGCUCUGGAAUCUUCUGUGACAAAUCUUAAGCAAGUCGACGAUUUCAAGUAUCUUGCACGUGCACAAAUAAAUACUUUUGGAUCCUAUCCUGACCAGUGUACAACAAUAUUUGACCAAGAUCAGAUUGGAAUUUCUUUUGAAGCUAAUAUGAGCUUAACAAUUGUUCAGAAGCAGAAAUUUAUUAUUCAUGAUAUAUCUCCUGAUUGGGGUUAUGCAUCUGAUGCAACAAAGGUAGUUAUAGUUGGAUCGUAUCUCUGCAAUCCAUCAGAGUACACGUGGACUUGUAUGUUUGGUGAUAUUGAAGUUCCUGUUCAGAUCAUUAAGGAAGGUGCGAUCUGCUGCCAGGCGCCUCCUCACUUGCCAGGUAAAGUCGCACUUUGUGUUACUACUGGCAAUAGGACGCCAUGCAGUGAAGUAAGAGAGUUUGAAUACCGUGCCAAGCUUGAUGAUCGUGGUCAAAAUGUUGUACCUGAAGUAGGAGGAGCUUCUAAGAGUUCGGAGGAACUGUUGCUACUUGUCAGAUUUGUGCAGAUGCUUCUAUCUGACUCAUCAGUGCAGAGAGGAGAUGGUUCUGAGUCGAGCAAUGAUAUCUUGGAGAAGUCCAAAGCAAGCGAAGAUUCAUGGAGCCAAGUUAUUGAAUCUCUUUUAUUUGGCACUUCAACAUCAACCGUAACCAUUGAUUGGCUUCUACAAGAGCUUUUGAAAAACAAGUUGCAACAGUGGCUUUCAUCCAAAUUGCAAGUAAAAAAUAACGAAAUGGGCUAUUCCUUGUCCAGGAAAGAUCAAGGAAUAGUUCACAUGAUUGCUGGCCUGGGGUUUGAGUGGGCUUUACACCCAGUUUUAAAUGCUGGAGUAAGUGCUAACUUCCGUGAUAUUCGUGGCUGGACUGCCCUGCACUGGGCUGCACGCUUUGGAAGGGAAAAAAUGGUUGCAUCACUCAUAGCAUCUGGUGCAUUUCCUGGAGCUGUUACUGAUCCGUCAUCAGAAGAUCCGUUUGGUAAAACUGCUGCAUCAAUUGCUUCUAGUUGCAGUCACAAGGGAGUUGCAGGUUAUCUUUCAGAGGUGGCUCUCACCAGUCAUUUGACGUCCCUCACAUUAGAGGAAAGUGAGGUCUCAAAGGGGACUGCUGAUAUUGAAGCAGAAAAAACUAUCAGUAAUAUAACAACCAUGAGUCCUGUCACACACGAGGAUCAGCUUUCUCUAAAGGACACUUUAGAUGCAGUCCGCAAUGCAGCUCAGGCUGCUGCUCGCAUACAAUCUGCAUUCCGAGCACAUUCAUUCAGGAAGAGACGACUGAGAGAAGCUGCACAUGUUGCUACCACUUGCAGAGAUGAAUAUUGUAUCCUCUCAAACGAUGUUCUUGGGCUUUCAGCUGCCUCAAAGUUGGCAUUCCGUAAUAUGCGGGACUAUAACUCAGCAGCAUUAUCUAUUCAGAAGAAAUAUCGGGGAUGGAAAGGCCGGAAAGACUUCCUUGUAUUUCGCCAGAAAGUAGUGAAGAUACAGGCUCAUGUACGAGGAUAUCAGGUUAGAAUGGAAUACAAGGUAUGUUGGGCUGUGGGUAUUUUAGAGAAGGUAGUGCUAAGGUGGCGUCGACGGGGUGUUGGUCUUCGGGGUUUCCGACUAGAAGAUGAACCCAUCGAGGAAAGUGAGAACGAAGACAUUCUCAAGUUGUUCCGCAAACAAUCAGUGGAUGCUGCUAUUAAUGAGGCUGUCUCUAGAGUGCUAUUGAUGGUUGACUCUCCAGAAGCACGCCAGCAAUAUCGCCGCAUUCUUGAAAAGUAUCGACAAGCUAAGGUUGAGCUUGCAGGAGCGAAGAGUGAUGCAAUAUCCACUGCACACAGUGACAUCUCCAAUGCGAAAAACAACGAUGUAUAUCAUUCAUAGAGAUUCUAAUGUCAUCCCCUUCGCUUGUGGAUGAAUUUAUCAUUGUAUUACAUGCUUCAGUUCAGUUUUGAAUGUUAUAUGUUGUUAUGGGUGAAGUAUUUUAUAGGUGCUUGUUAUAAUUUGUAUUAAGGUUGGAAGUUGAAACAACCUUUUUCUUCAUUUAGUGCCUGCAGGCAGAUCAGUUUGAAAUUUAUUUCGCUAUUGUACAUAUUCUAGCAGUCUUUUCUUAAUUUAUUCAUGGAAGCUCAGAAAUAUUAUGAGUCUGUUCC